UAGGGAAUCUUCCGCAAUGGGCGAAAGCCUGACGGAGCAACGCCGCGUGAGUGAUGAAGGGUUUCGGCUCGUAAAACUCUGUUAUUAGGGAAGAACAAAUGUGUAAGUAACUGUGCACAUCUUGACGGUACCUAAUCAGAAAGCCACGGCUAACUACGUGCCAGCAGCCGCGGUAAUACGUAGGUGGCAAGCGUUAUCCGGAAUUAUUGGGCGUAAAGCGCGCGUAGGCGGUUUCUUAAGUCUGAUGUGAAAGCCCACGGCUCAACCGUGGAGGGUCAUUGGAAACUGGGAAACUUGAGUGCAGAAGAGGAAAGUGGAAUUCCAUGUGUAGCGGUGAAAUGCGCAGAGAUAUGGAGGAACACCAGUGGCGAAGGCGACUUUCUGGUCUAUAACUGACGCUGAUGUGCGAAAGCGUGGGGAUCAAACAGG
rnacentral:rRNA from 1 species